rnacentral:misc_RNA from 1 species
GAUGAAGAACGUAGCGAAAUGCGAUAAGUAAUGUGAAUUGCAGAAUUCAGUGAAUCAUCGAAUCUUUGAACGCACAUUGCGCCCGCCAGUAUUCUGGCGGGCAUGCCUGUCUGAGCGUCAUUUCAACCCUCAUGCCCCUAGGGCGUGGUGUUGGGGAUCGGCCAAAGCCCGCGAGGGACGGCCGGCCCCUAAAUCUAGUGGCGGACCCGUCGUGGCCUCCUCUGCGAAGUAGUGAUAUUCCGCAUCGGAGAGCGAUGAGCCCCUGCCGUUAAACCCCCAACUUUCCAAGGUUGACCUCAGAUCAGGUAGGAAUACCCGCUGAACUUAAGCAUAUCAAUACGCGGAGGA